GACGAACGCUGGCGGCGUGCCUAAUACAUGCAAGUCGAACGCUUCUUUCCUCCCGAGUGCUUGCACUCAAUUGGAAAGAGGAGUGGCGGACGGGUGAGUAACACGUGGGUAACCUACCCAUCAGAGGGGGAUAACACUUGGAAACAGGUGCUAAUACCGCAUAACAGUUUAUGCCGCAUGGCAUAAGAGUGAAAGGCGCUUUCGGGUGUCGCUGAUGGAUGGACCCGCGCUGCAGUAGCGCGUGGGUGAGGUAACGGCUCACCAAGGCAACGAGGCAUAACCGCCCUGAUCGGGUGAGCGGCCACACGGGAACUGAGACAGGGUACAGACACUGACGCGAAGCAGCAGCAGGGAAUCUUCCGCAAGGGGCGAAAGCCUGACGGAGCAACGCCGCGUGAGUGAAGAAGGUCUUCGGAUCGUAAAACUCCGUUAUUAGGGAAGAACAAAUGUGUAAGUAACUAUGCACGUCCCGACGGUACCUAAUCAGAAAGCCACGGCUAACUACGUG
rnacentral:rRNA from 1 species